AGAGACCUCAGGCAUCACACCUGGCUGCACCCAUGGAAGCCUUGUCACAUCUGCCAGCUGCACGCAAUGCCUCGGAAAAUAUAAAACACCUAGGCUCCAUACUUUUCCCAUUAUUUUUUCAUUGUGGACUUCACCUCCCUCGCAGCUGGAUUGGUUUUUAACUGAAGAAAAUACUUUUUGUCAGUGCAAAACUCCAUUUCUUCAGUAUUUGCAGCCUCCUUGUGGAUCACAGCCUCACUAUGCUAAUGAAAUGGCAGAACAGAAGACAGUUCCCAGUUAUUAAAAAGAGCUCAUCAUCACUGCCCUUUGGGCCAGAGAAGUAAAGGGACUACAGAAAAGGUCUAUUCAGCUUUAAAAAGGCACUCAGCAUUUCCCGUGGCACCACAGGGAUCAGGAAUGAGCAGCGUCCAUCCCAAGACCCUUGUCUCUUCAAAAGCUCUGUCUGCUAUACCCACAACCAAAAGGGUCAUCACUGACACAUGUUUAGUCCUUUGUAUUUCAUAAAAAUUGAAAUGAGGGAUGGAGACACACAAAGAGAUGAAAGAGGAGAAAGAGAAGAAAGGGAAAGAGGGAAAGGGAUGAAGGAGAGAGAAGGAAGAAAGCAAGGAAGCAAGGAAAGAAGGGGAAAAUGAAAUUUCUCACAAGUUAAAUGAGAAAUUCAAUUCAAACAUAAGAACAAG